AUUGAACGCUGGCGGCAUGCCUUACACAUGCAAGUCGAACGGUAACAGGUCUUCGGAUGCUGACGAGUGGCGAACGGGUGAGUAAUGCAUCGGAACGUGCCCAGUCGUGGGGGAUAACGCAGCGAAAGCUGUGCUAAUACCGCAUACGAUCUAUGGAUGAAAGCGGGGGACCGUAAGGCCUCGCGCGAUUGGAGCGGCCGAUGUCAGAUUAGGUAGUUGGUGGGGUAAAGGCUCACCAAGCCAACGAUCUGUAGCUGGUCUGAGAGGACGACCAGCCACACUGGGACUGAGACACGGCCCAGACUCCUACGGGAGGCAGCAGUGGGGAAUUUUGGACAAUGGGCGCAAGCCUGAUCCAGCAAUGCCGCGUGCAGGAAGAAGGCCUUCGGGUUGUAAACUGCUUUUGUACGGAACGAAACGGUCCGGGUUAAUACCCUGGGCUAAUGACGGUACCGUAAGAAUAAGCACCGGCUAACUUCGUGCCAGCCGCCGCAGUAA
rnacentral:rRNA from 1 species